rnacentral:lncRNA from 1 species
AGUGGAUCGGCCCUGGGACGGCUUACAAUGGCAGUUACGGUGCCAUGACUUGGAUAGGGUCAGAUUCAUCACUGAACCCCCAGGCUUCCCACCCAGGGUCCUACAUGCAUGGUUUUGAGGCCUUUGUCUUCACUCCUGACCGAUUGAUUUGGGGAUCCAGUGGUGAGUCAAACUACUGAGCCGCUGCUCUGGACAAAAGUCUGUUGAAGCUGUUAAGGAUAGAUUUUGAUUCUUAAGGUGUGGGAAUAUGCUCUCAAGCUGGGUCUGAGUCCCAGGCUUCUUCGGAAAGGCACCUUCUGUGCUGCCAAGUCUUCUUCCUGGCUCCUUGUUCUGAGUGGGGAUUAUUCUCUGACUCCCGGGGCUGGGAUUUUCUGCUUCCUGGCCUCUGUGAGGCCACGUUCUCUCUUUUGGAUGCUGAUCCUCCUGUGGGAACUUCUCUGUCACCUGAAGCCCCUUUCUUGAACUGCUGACUCUGUGCUCUACCAGCUCUGUCCACUGCAUCUUGUUGGCAUGGUUUUGCCCUCCAGUUCCCUUGAAUUCUUUGAUAUGCCCUCCUUCGAGCCCCUACCUCCUCCAUCCUCUGCCCACCCCUGCCAGGCCCUUUCCUUCCCCACUCCAGCCUCUCAGUCACUUGAACUUAGGCCCCCUACCCUCCCCAGGGGCUUCUCAAGGGACUCAGGAGCCCCCAAAAGCAACCAUGUGAGGCAGAAAAGAGAGAAAAAGAAGGAACUAUUUGGAAACUGGCUUUUACUAGGUCUGUGAUUACUUAAGAAAAUUGAGUCUCCCCAAUAUUAAAAGAGGACACAAUUGAAAACACUGGCUACAUCACCAAGGCUGGAAUGUUAUAUUGAUUGGAAUGUUAUAUUUUCUAAUACGACCAGACAGCUUAAGGAACUAAAAUUGACUUUGAAGAGCCUGGGAAGACAGCUUGGAAAACUGUUUCAAACCUUACCAAUGAGAAAGGAAUGUCACUUCCUGACAAGUCCAGAAAUCUUAGAUAUUUGGGGGACCUCAAGAAAAGAGGAAUUUGCCAAAUCUAUAAGUGUUACAGAUGAAACCUGUUGGCAAGUCCUUGGCCUGGCUUCCUUACCUUCAGAGGCUUCUACCAGUUCAAUCUGAGAUUCCUUUUAUUUUCUUUUUUGAGACGGAGUCUCGCUCUGUCCCCCAGGCUGGAGUGCA